CAGUCGCCGGGGAAUACGUAGGUGGCAAGCGUUGUCCGGAAUUAUUGGGCGUAAAGGGCUCGCAGGCGGUUUCUUAAGUCUGAUGUGAAAGCCCCCGGCUCAACCGGGGAGGGUCAUUGGAAACUGGGAAACUUGAGUGCAGAAGAGGAGAGUGGAAUUCCACGUGUAGCGGUGAAAUGCGUAGAGAUGUGGAGGAACACCAGUGGCGAAGGCGACUCUCUGGUCUGUAACUGACGCUGAGGAGCGAAAGCGUGGGGAGCGAACAGGAUUAGAGACCCGUGUAGUCCCUGUCUCUUAUACA
rnacentral:rRNA from 1 species